CGGGUGAGUAACGCGUGGGUAACCUGCCUCAUACAGGGGAGUAACAGUUAGAAAUGACUGCUAAUACCGCAUAAGCGCACAAAACCGCAUGGUUUGGUGUGAAAAACUGAGGNGGUAUGAGAUGGACCCGCGUCUGAUUAGCUAGUUGGAGAGGUAACGGCUCACCAAGGCAACGAUCAGUAGCCGACCUGAGAGGGUGACCGGCCACAUUGGGACUGAGACACGGCCCAAACUCCUACGGAAGGCAGCAG
rnacentral:rRNA from 1 species